rnacentral:rRNA from 1 species
GAUGAACGCUGGCGGCGUGCCUAAUACAUGCAAGUCGAGCGAACAGACGAGGAGCUUGCUCCUCUGACGUUAGCGGCGGACGGGUGAGUAACACGUGGAUAACCUACCUAUAGGACUGGGAUAACUUCGGGAAACCGGAGCUAAUACCGGAUAACAUGUUGAACCGCAUGGUUCAACAGUGAAAGACGGUUUUGCUGUCACUUAUAGAUGGAUCCGCGUCGCAUUAGCUAGUUGGUAAGGUAACGGCUUACCAAGGCAACGAUGCGUAGCCGACCUGAGAGGGUGAUCGGCCACACUGGAACUGAGACACGGUCCAGACUCCUACGGGAGGCAGCAGUAGGGAAUCUUCCGCAAAGGGCGAAAGCCUGACGGAGCAACGCCGCGUGAGUGAAGAAGGUCUUCGGAUCGUAAAACUCUGUUAUUAGGGAAGAACAAAUGUGUAAGUAACUAUGCACGUCUUGACGGUACCUAAUCAGAAAGCCACGGCUAACUACGUG